rnacentral:lncRNA from 8 species
AAUUUUUUUUUCUCCAUUGGUUUAUUUUUCUAAUCAUGCUUUACCUGACCAUGGCUGCGUUCACACAGGCAGCCCAAUUCAGUUUUUUUCUACUAAUUGUUCUUUUGACCAAUUACAUCAGAUCUUUCAGAGCUGAUCUGAUUGGUCAAAAGACCAAUUAGUGGAAAAAAAAGACGUGUAAAUGCAGCCCAUGUUACUCUUUUCAACAGAUCUUUACCAUGUGACUUCACGUUUUUUUCUUGGAUUGCUGAACAUACCACGUCUCGUUCAGCGCUUUGACGUCCUGAGACAUACUGCUGAUGUAAUUGGGCAUCUGGACACCAGUGCAUUCUUGAACCAAGUAACUUGGUCUCACUCCUCCAAAGAUGGGGCCAGGACCACCUCCGAUUCCCUCCCUGGCAGCUUUGUGGUCGUAAAGCACAGGGCUCCCGAGUGGCGCAGUGGUCUAAGGGACUGCAUCUCAGUGCAAGAGGCGUUACUACAGUCCCUGGUUCAAUUCCAGGCUGUAUCACAUCCAUCUGUGAUCGGGUGUCCCGUAGGGCGGCGCGCAAUUGGCCCGGCAUCGUCAGGGUUUGGCCAGGAGCCGUUUGGAAGAGCCGGAAUGCCCAUCACUAAUUCCUGUUGCUUUGUGCGGAUGCAGAAUAAAAAAAGGCCCGCGAUGACGACAUAUCAGUCCGCUAAUAGUGAAAUGGUUUUUAACUAAAUGUAUUUGGGUGUUUACCAGCAUUUGUAACUUGAAUCUGAUAAUUAUGUGUACAAAAAGUUAAUAUUGCUUGAUAUGUUUUCCAGUUUCUUGAAGUACUUUCCAAAUGCAGCUUAUUUCGAUGUGAAAACUGAAAUGGUCUAUUCAUUCAUUUUCAGUAGGCUCUUUUCCAGAGCAGCUUAUAGUAAUGAGUGUAUACAUUUUCGUACUAGUUCCCCUGAGGGAAUCAAACCCACAACCCUAGUAUUUCAAAUGCUAUGCUCUACCAACUGAGCCACAUCCUCACGUCUCGGUGUACUCAAUUACUGUGUUGUGCAUUGUUAUUCUUCAUGGUGACGGAAUGUCUACAGGUGACCUCAGGUGCAGAGCCUCUCAUUAUUUGGAUGCUUCCUUUAGACUCCU